rnacentral:rRNA from 1 species
UACGGGGGGAGCAAGCGUUGUUCGGAAUUACUGGGCGUAAAGGGCCAGUAGGCGGCCAACUAAGUCCGACGUGAAAUCCCCAGGCUUAACCUGGGAACUGCGUCGGAUACUGGAUGGCUUGAAUUCGGGAGAGGGAUGCAGAAUUCCAGGUGUAGCGGUGAGAUGCGUAGAUAUCCGGAGGAACACCGGUGGCGAAGGCGGCUUCCUGGACCGACACUGACGCUGAGGCGCGAAAGCUAGGGGAGCAAACGGG